rnacentral:rRNA from 1 species
CCGAAGCGCCCGUCCCAACGGGGCGGGAGGGCAAUGUGGUGUUUAGGAAUAGCGCGACCGAAGGUUGAUCUAAGCGCAAGUCCUCCUGACUGAGGCUCUCGCCCAUUGAGGGUGCAAGGCCCGUGGUCGCUUAUGAUCUCCGGCGGAAGCAAAAUUCCUUGGAGUCGGGUUGCUUGAGAGUGCAGCCCUAAGUGGGUGGUAAACUCCAUCUAAGGCUAAAUACGACCACGAAACCGAUAGCGAACAAGUACCGUGAGGGAAAGUUGAAAAGAACUUUGAAGAGAGAGUUCAAGAGUGCGUGAAACCGUUUAGAGGUAAACGGGUGGGCCCUCGAAGGUGAUCGUCGGAGGGAUUCAGUCGGACGUGACCGUAAGCGUCGUUCGUCUCUAACGGUGCGGACCUCGGUCGGCCGGGCGGGCGAAGGCUGCGGGCCGUUUGGCGCAUUUCCUUCCGUUCGAACUACGCUGCGACCAGUCUGGUCACUGAAAGUUGUCGUCCUUGAAAACGGGCGAUGGAAGGUGGCCGGCGGCGUCUCUCGGGAUGCCGUCGGUGUUUAUAGCCGGUUCGUUUCACGAGUGAGCGUUCAUCAGACUGGGGACGAUUCUAGCCCUGUGCGGGCUACGCCGAGCACUCCGUUUGGAGCGUUGCGGGACGACUGGAUGCGCCUGCGGUCGGUGGUUUCACCUUUGUGUGGGCUAACGCCGUAGGUCUCCGUAAGCUCGUUCCGUACGUCUUGAAACACGGACCAAGGAGUCUAACAUGUGCGCGAGUCAUUGGGUCUUGAAUAGGCCCAAAGGCGUAAUGAAAGUGAAGGGCGGUUCGGCCGUCUGCCUUGGGAUCCGGUGAACCUCGCGUUCGCCGGCGCACCAAGGGCCCGUCCCGGUCGCCUCGUCGACGGGGCGGAGCAAGAGCGUACACGUUGGGACCCGAAAGAUGGUGAACUAUGCCUGGGCAGGACGAAGCCAGAGGAAACUCUGGUGGAGGUCCGCAGCGAUUCUGACGUGCAAAUCGGCUCAUGAGAUCCCAUGGAAAGGUGUUGGUUGCUAUAGACAGCAGGACGGUGGCCAUGGAAGUCGGAAUCCGCUAAGGAGUGUGUAACAACUCACCUGCCGAAGCAACUAGCCCUGAAAAUGGAUGGCGCUUCAGCGUCGACCCCAUACCCGGCCGCCGCGGCCGAAAAGCCUCGUGUUUUAAGCCGCGGUGAGUAGGAGGGGCGCGGAGGCGAGCGUCGAAGGUGCCGGGCGUAAGCCCGCCUGGAGCCGCCUCCGGCGCAGAUCUUGGUGGUAGUAGCAAAUACUCAAGUGAGAACCUUGAGGACUGAGGUGGAGAAGGGUUCCAUGUGAACAGCAGUUGAACAUGGGUCAGUCGGUCCUAAGGGAUAGGAGAAAUCCGUUCCGAGGCGGGACCUAAUUUAUUAUGAAAGUCCCGCUGAUGACCGAAAGGGAAUCGGGUUAAUAUUCCCGAACCCGGACGCGGAGAUCGUCCUCUUCGGAGGUACAUUGCGGUAACGCAAACGAGCUCGGAGACGUCGACGGGAGCACCGGGAAGAGUUAUCUUUUCUUUGUAAGGAUUCGACUCCCUGGAAUCGGCUCGCCCGGAGAUAGGGAUGGUGUUUCCGUAAAGCACCGCGCCUCUUGCGGUGUCCGGAUCGCUCCCGUCGGCCCUUGAAAAUCCGAGUGAGAGAUAGUGAUUUUCGUGCCGGACCGU